rnacentral:rRNA from 1 species
AGAGUUUGAUCAUGGCUCAGAUUGAACGCUGGCGGCAUGCUUUACACAUGCAAGUCGAGCGGCAGCGCGGGGGCAACCCUGGCGGCGAGCGGCGAACGGGUGAGUAAUACAUCGGAACGUGUCCAGUAGUGGGGGAUAACCAGUCGAAAGAUUGGCUAAUACCGCAUACGAUCUACGGAUGGAAGCGGGGGACCGCAAGGCCUCGCGCUAUUGGAGCGGCCGAUGUCCGAUUAGCUAGUUGGCGGGGUAACGGCCCACCAAGGCGACGAUCGGUAGCUGGUCUGAGAGGAUGAUCAGCCACACUGGAACUGAGACACGGUCCAGACUCCUACGGGAGGCAGCAGUGGGGAAUUUUGGNCAAUGGGCGCAAGCCUGAUC